rnacentral:rRNA from 1 species
GAUGAACGCUAGCGGCAGGCCUAAUACAUGCAAGUCGGACGGGAUUCAGGAGCUUGCUUCUGAUGAGAGUGGCGCACGGGUGCGUAACACGUAUGUAACCUACCUUUAUCAGGGGGAUAGCCUCUCGAAAGAGAGAUUAAGCCCGCAUAAAAUCACAGCACAGCAUUGUGUAAUGAUCAAAUAUUUAUAGGAUAAAGAUGGGCAUGCGGAACAUUAGCUAGAUGGCGGGGUAACGGCCCACCAUGGCGACGAUGUUUAGGGGAUCUGAGAGGAUGGCCCCCCACACUGGUACUGAGACACGGACCAGACUCCUAGGGGAGGCAGCAGUAAGGAAUAUUGGGCAAUGGGCGGAAGCCUGAACCAGCCAUGCCGCGUGCAGGAAGACGGCCCUACGGGUUGUAAACUGCUUUUAUACGGGAAUAAACCCAGAUACGUGUAUCUGGCUGAAUGUACUGUAAGAAUAAGGAUCGGCUAACUCCGUG